UACAGAGGUCUCAAGCGUUGUUCGGAUUCAUUGGGCGUAAAGGGCACGUAGGCGGCUCGGCAAAUCGGUCGUGGAAUCCCGACGCUUACCGUCGGAACGGCGGCCGAAAAUACCGGGCUAGAGGGCGUGAGGGGUCACUGGAACUCCUGGUGAAGCGGUGAAAUGCGUAGAUAUCAGGAGGAACGCCGGAGGCGAAAGCGAGUGACUGGCGCGUUCCUGACGCUGAGGUGCGAAAGCUAGGGGAGCAAACAGG
rnacentral:rRNA from 1 species